CAAGCAAAGGAAAACUUAAGCCGCAUUAAACCAUUAUCCCCAACACCUAACCGCUAUCAAUUCAACUUAAAGCGCAGGCUGCACUUGGUUCAAACGUGAACCAUAUAAUCGAAACCUGACUACAUUUCCAAAACAUUUUAUCUAACUAUGAGGGUACUGAUCUUUUUGAUUCUACUGACUGGGGCUUUGUGCAAGAGCAUUUUACGUAGUCCCGACAAGUGCUCCCAUUCCUUCUGUGAUGAUGGUUCAUUUAAUUGCUGUCAAGGUUACAAGUGUGGAGUUGGGGAACUGAAAGGGUAUUGCAUUCCAAAAAAUACAGUCAAUCAGGAAAAAAGGUCCGGUGCACUAUCAAUAUCCCAAAUAUAUCGUUGAAUCGUCAGAUUGUAAAGAAAAACCAAAUAAAACUCAAUUGUUUGAAUAAC